rnacentral:rRNA from 1 species
UACGUAGGGUGCAAGCGUUGUCCGGAAUUAUUGGGCGUAAAGAGCUCGUAGGCGGUCGGUCGCGUCUGCUGUGAAAACUCGGGGCUUAACUCCGGGCCUGCAGUGGGUACGGGCUGACUAGAGUGCGGUAGGGGAGACUGGAAUUCCUGGUGUAGCGGUGAAAUGCGCAGAUAUCAGGAGGAACACCGGUGGCGAAGGCGGGUCUCUGGGCCGUAACUGACGCUGAGGAGCGAAAGCGUGGGGAGCGAACAGG